rnacentral:rRNA from 1 species
AAUAUUGGACAAUGGGCGAAAGCCUGAUCCAGCCAUGCCGCGUGUGUGAAGAAGGUCUUCGGAUUGUAAAGCACUUUAAGUCGGGAGGAUGGGUUGGAGAUUAAUACUCUGCAAUUUUGACGUUACCAACAGAAUAAGCACCGGCUAACUUCGUGCAAGCAGCCGCGGUAAUACGAAGGGUGCAAGCGUUAAUCGGAAUUACUGGGCGUAAAGCGCGCGUAGGUGGUUUGUCAAGUUGGAAGUGAAAGCCCCGGGCUCAACCUGGGAAUUGCUUUCAAAACUGGCGAGCUAGAGUACGGUAGAGGGUGGUGGAAUUUCCUGUGUAGCGGUGAAAUGCGUAGAUAUAGGAAGGAACAUCAGUGGCGAAGGCGACCACCUGGACUGAUACUGACACUGAGGUGCGAAAGCGUGGGGAGCAAACAGG